rnacentral:rRNA from 1 species
UACAGAGGUGGCAAGCGUUGUUCGGAAUUACUGGGCGUAAAGGGCGCGUAGGCGGCCUUCUAAGUCGGACGUGAAAGCCCCAGGCUUAACCUGGGAACUGCGUCCGAUACUGGGAGGCUUGGAUUCGGGAGAGGGAUGUGGAAUUCCAGGUGUAGCGGUGAAAUGCGCAGAUAUCAGGAGGAACACCGGUGGCGAAGGCGGGUCUCUGGGCCGAUACUGACGCUGAGGAGCGAAAGCGUGGGGAGCGAACAGG